CAAUUUUGUUUUUAAAGUGUUUAUAGUAUUUUUAGUCUGAAAAGCUACAUGACAUAAUAUUAAUAGUAAUUAUUUCUAGUUGGUGGGAUUAUGGAUUAUUUUUAAAUGUUCUUCUAUAUGAUUUUAUGAAUUUUUUACAUUUUCUGUCAUAAAAAUAUGUGUGUGUUUUUUCUUAAGUAGAUCAUAUCCAAUCUCAUACAAGUGUUAAUUAACUAAAAAAUUUCUUAGACUUUAGGCUACAAUUGCAAAUGCUAAUUAAUAAACUAAGUUCACCUCUUUGGGGUUAUGGCCAUGGUUGAGAAAACUCCUUUGGGAUUCUUUAAUAUAUUCAGACUCCUCUCAGAUACCUGUAGCCUCCUGCCUCCCACCCUUCAUUCCUGAUUUUCAGACCUACAGCACUCUGCAAAAGGCAUUCUUCACCAAAGUGUGUCUCCUUGCCAUCCAACACAUCGAUGAUUCACUGCCUUCAUGGAGAAUUAUUGCACUCACACAGCGAGCAGAGCAAUUUCUCUUGGAUUUUUCAGCAGUGCCCGAACAGCACCUGCACUUAGCAGUUUAUGUGCAGUAACUCCUAUAAUCCUAAAAGUACUCAUGCAAGUUACAGAUCACUUGGUGUUAACGAGUCCUGGGAUGGCUGAUUCCUUGAAGAGGAGGGACCAUGGGAACGUCCGACUUUCAGGAAAGAAGCGAGGCUGCCUGGAUGUCUGUGACCACAGCGAAAAG
rnacentral:lncRNA from 1 species